GAUAGUGUGGCCGAGUGGUCUAUGGCGCUGGAUUUAGGAACCAGUGUCUUCGGAGGCAAGGGUUCGAAUCCCUUCACUGUCA
rnacentral:tRNA from 1 species